UUGAGGAAUGUUCUAUGGGAUCCCCUUCAGUUUCCAGGAUGUUACUCAAAUCUUUGGGAGCCAUUAUUCCUGACCUUCUAGGUUUUAAUGUCCUUUCUUCUAGCCCAUAAUCCCAGGGUUACUUUUGAUGAGUAAAAGAAGAUUGAUUCACUACCAUAAAUAUGGCAACUUCCUGGUGACAAGAACCUGUCUUAUGUGCUACUGCUGUUGUUUUUAGGAAAACAAAACCAAACUAAAUGACCACAAGGGAUGAAGCUGGCAAAGUUGGAUAGGACUUAGAUGUAACACAGGACAAUACACAUAAGAGUUGUGCAACAGAUAACCUGUUAAAUUAUUUAGCGGACAAAAUCAGUCUCUCUUCUUGUCUAUAAAGAAAUUUGAGCUGAUCACACCAAGGGCUGACAUGAGCUGAGAGGACAUCUCCUGCCUGGCAGGGAGCCUUCGGCACAACUCCUAGAAACCGAACCUGGAUAUCAAGUCCAGUCAGAGCUUUCUUUUCCUUCGUCUGAGUUGGUUCAAGAUUUUGCUAGAAUGACUCACAGAACUCAGGGAAACAUUCUUACUAUUUAUUAUGAGGAAAGACCAAACGAAAGGAAUGCGAAGGGCAGCAUGUGGGAAGGGGCGCCCUCUCCAGGCUGCCAUCUUCCUGGCACGUGGAUGCGCUCAACAACCAGGAAUCUCUCCUGAUCCAGUCCUUUAGGGAUUUUGUGGAGGCUUCCUUACGUGGACAUGAUUGAUCAAAUGGAUCACUGCUAUGUUGGAGCCAUGUGACGAGGUAGAGGCCAGCAGAAUGCUGCACAUCCCCAGUGACAUUAAAAUAGAAUGAAAGGCCUAUCAAAUAAAGUCUUCCGGUGUCUUUGGCAGAAUUAUUUGAAGGUGGAUGAGAAAGAGCAACGGUAAUCGUCGUGCCUGAAGCGUAUUAGUUGCUCAUGUGUGCUGAAUUAGAUGAAACACCAAUGCCUUCAGUUUGUGAAGAGAAGGCUGGAACAAAAUUUUGGAGUUCAAUCUUGCAAGUUGGUAAUUUUUAAAAUAUAUAUUAACUUUUCACAUAGGUGUGUGUUUAUAUAUUUAAAUUACCAUUUUUGUAACUAUCUUACCAAAUAUUCUGAUUUUUUUCCAAUAAAUUUUUUAAAUACUAUUUGGCUAUUCUAGUUACCUAAUCAUAUCAUCUUAAUGAGAACUUUGCCCCUUGUUUUCAAUAAUUCACAUUUUUCCUUGUCUGACUGCAUCAGAUCCUAUUUCUAGAAUAUUAUGAAAGUAGUGAUAUGGGCAUUCGCAUCUCAUUCCCGACGUUGAUAAGAAUUUUCCCAGUAUUCACAUUCUACAUUAUUCUUUGAGUUAUUAUUUUAUUAAUAGUUUAUUGUUUGUUUUUUUAAAAUCAGGAAUCAAUAGCACUGAUCAUGGAGUCUGCAGAGACCUCAGGUCUUCUUAGGUUUAAGUAAAGAUUCAGAACAUUUAGGCUCGCAAGAUGGCACUUGCAUACUCAGGAUAAGGGACAGGGACCACGGUAUGCCUGCAUCAAGUGCUUCUCUUCAGUGGAACUCCUCAC